CCUACGGGAUGCACCAGUGGGGAAUAUUGCACAAUGGGCGCAAGCCUGAUGCAGCCAUGCCGCGUGUAUGAAGAAGGCCUUAGGGUUGUAAAGUACUUUCAGUUGGGAGGAAGGCGUUGAUGCUAAUAUCAUCAGCGAUUGACGUUACCAACAGAAGAAGCACCGGCUAACUCCGUGCCAGCAGCCGCGGUAAUGCGGAGGGUGCAAGCGUUAAUCGGAAUUACUGGGCGUAAAGCGCACGCAGGCGGUUGAUUAAGUUAGAUGUGAAAUCCCCGGGCUUAACCUGGGAAUGGCAUCUAAGACUGGUCAGCUAGAGUCUUGUAGAGGGGGGUAGAAUUCCAUGUGUAGCGGUGAAAUGCGUAGAGAUGUGGAGGAAUACCGGUGGCGAAGGCAGCCCCCUGGACAAAGCCUGACGCUCAGGUGCGAAAGCGUGGGGAGCAAACAGGAUUAGAUACCCCAGUAGUC
rnacentral:rRNA from 1 species